UCUCUUUUUUUAUUGCCUAGUCAGGAGUCAAUGAGUCUUUGUCUUCCCUUCUGGUCGAAAGCCGGCGUAAUUUCAUCGCAGAGAAGCGUAGAGAUCUGACGACGAAGAGUUGACAGGGUUUGCGGGUUCUAGGGUUUAGGAUUUAUACGAUCAAUAGGAUAUUUCCGCAAUUUCUCAUCUCUCUCAUAAACUAGUUUGGUGGACGAAGUUCCUUAAUUUCUGGGUUGGGGGAGACGAUGGAUAACCAAGCAGAUAAAGGGAAAACGAAGAAAGUAAUGUCCCCAUGCGACGUCGAAGCUCUAAAGAAGUGCUUGGAAGAAAACAAGGGCGACUACCUCAAAUGCCAAUCACAAGUGGAAGCGUUUAGAACUUCCUGUUCUUUGAAGAAAACGCAAUCGCCUCCUGAAUCCUCUUCCAAGCUCAAGCGCGGUGUGGUCUCUGAUGGUUGAGAAAGGAUGAUUUUUUUUCUUCUUCCCUGAGUGACACCAAUUUACAUACUUUGUUUCAUCUACAAAUGAAUACGAUAAUGUGUUCUAGAUUUCUCGUACUUAAUAGCGCAGAUAAUCUUGAAGAA